UUUCCGUAGGUGAACCUGCGGAAGGAUCAUUACAGUAGUCACCCAGGUUGCCGCAAGGCCUCCUGGGUAACCUACCACCCUUUGUUUAUUACACUUUGUUGCUUUGGCAAGCCUGCCCUCGGGCUGCUGGCUCCGGCCGGCGAGCGCCUGCCAGAGGACCUAAACUCUGUUUGUCUAUACUGUCUGAGUACUAUAUAAUAGUUAAAACUUUCAACAACGGAUCUCUUGGUUCUGGCAUCGAUGAAGAACGCAGCGAAAUGCAAUAAGUAAUGUGAAUUGCAGAAUUCAGUGAAUCAUCGAAUCUUUGAACGCACAUUGCGCCCCCUGGUAUUCCGGGGGGCAUGCCUGUCCGAGCGUCAUUACAACCCUCAAGCUCAGCUUGGUAUUGGGCCCCGCCGACCCGGCGGGCCCUAAAGUCAGUGGCGGUGCCGUCCGGCUCCGAGCGUAGUAAUUCUUCUCGCUCUGGAGGUCCGGUCGUGUGCUCGCCAGCAACCCCCAAUUUUUUUCAGGUUGACCUCGGAUCAGGUAGGGAUACCCGCUGAACUUAAGCAUAUCAAUAAGCGGAG
rnacentral:rRNA from 1 species